rnacentral:lncRNA from 1 species
AGGUUACAGUGAGCCAAGAUCAUGCCACUGUACUCCAGCCUGGCAACAGAGCGAGACUCUGUCUCAAAAAAAAAAAAAUAAAAUAACUGUGGCCGGGCGCGAUGGCUCAACCCUGUAAUCCCAGCACUUUGGGGGGCCGAGGCGAGUGGAUCACCUGAGUUCAGGAGUUCAAGACCAGCCUGGCCAACAUGGUGAAACCCCAUCUCUACUAAAAAUACAAAAAUUAGCUGAGCGUGGUGGCACAAGCCUAUAAUCCCAGCUACUCAGGAGGCUGAGGCAGGAGAAUCACUUGAACCCAGGAGGCAGAGGUUGCAGUGAGCCAAGAUCCUAGCUGGGCGUGGUGGUGGGCGCCUGUAAUCCCAGCUACUUGGGAGGCUGAGGCAGGAGAAUUGCUUAAACCUGGGAGGUGGAGGUUGCAGUGAGCCGAGAUCACGCCACUGCACUCCAGCCUGGG